UACGAGGGGGGCAAAUGUUGUUCGGAAUCACUGGGCGUAAAGGGAGCGUAGGCGGGUUUUUAAGUUAGGUGUUUAAUCCCGGGGCCCAACCCCGGACCGGCACUUAAAACUGGGAAUCUUGAAUAGUGGAGAGGUCGGUGGAAUUGGGGGUGUAGCGGUGGAAUGCGUAGAGAUCCCCAAGAACACCAGUUGCGAAGGCGGCCGACUGGACACAUAUUGACGCUGAGGCUCGAAAGCAUGGGGAGCAAACAGG
rnacentral:rRNA from 1 species